GCCAUCGUGGUGUAGUGGUCAGCACACUCGACGCGUAACCGAGAGGUCCGUGGUUCAAAUCCCAGCGAAGACG
rnacentral:tRNA from 1 species